GCCAUGCUAGUCGCACGAGUUCAGACUCGUGGCAGAUAGCUCAGUAACACGUGGCCAAACUACCCUAUAGAUCCGGCCAACCUCGGGAAACUGAGGCUAAUCCGGGAUAACGCUUUCAGCCUGGAGUGGCGAGAGCGUGAAACGCUCCGGCGCUAUAGGAUGUGGCUGCGGCCGAUUAGGUAGACGGUGGGGUAACGGCCCACCGUGCCAGUAAUCGGUACGGGUUGUGAGAGCAAGAGCCCGGAGACGGUAUCUGAGACAAGAUACCGGGCCCUACGGGGCGCAGCAGGCGCGAAACCUUUACACUGCACGCGAGUGCGAUAAGGGGACUCCAGGUGCGAGGGCAUAUAGUCCUCGCUUUUCUCGACCGUAGGGAGGUCGAGGAACAAGUGCUGGGCAAGACCGGUGCCAGCCGCCGCGGUAAUACCGGCAGCACAAGUGAUGACCGCUGUUAUUGGGCCUAAAGCGUCCGUAGCUGGCCAGACAAGUUCAUCGGGAAAUCUGUGCGCCUAACGCACAGGCGUCCGGUGGAAACUGCCUGGCUUGGGACCGGAAGACCAGAGGGGUACGUCUGGGGUAGGAGUGAAAUCCCGUAAUCCUGGACGGACCAC
rnacentral:rRNA from 1 species